rnacentral:rRNA from 1 species
GUACCGUCAAUCGAGUGCCCUAUUCGAACACUCGGGAUUCUUUCCCCUCUGACAGUGGUUUACACCCCGAAAGGCUUCCUCCCACACGCGGCGUCGCUGCGUCAGUCUUUCGACCAUUGCGCAAUAUUCCCCA